rnacentral:rRNA from 1 species
GCGGAUCAGCACGCCGCGGUGAAUACGUUCCCGGGUCUUGUACACACCGCCCGUCACACCAUGAGAGUUUGUAACACCCAAAGCCGGUGGGGUAACCUUCGGGAGCCAGCCGUCUAAGGUGGGACAGAUGAUUAGGGUGAAGUCGUAACAAGGUAGCCGUAGGAGAACCUGCGGCUGGAUCACCUCCUUU